GAACUGAAGAGUUUGAUCAUGGCUCAGAUUGAACGCUGGCGGCAGGCCUAACACAUGCAAGUCGAGCGGUAGAGAGGUGCUUGCACCUCUUGAGAGCGGCGGACGGGUGAGUAAUGCCUAGGAAUCUGCCUGGUAGUGGGGGAUAACGUUCGGAAACGAACGCUAAUACCGCAUACGUCCUACGGGAGAAAGCAGGGGACCUUCGGGCCUUGCGCUAUCAGAUGAGCCUAGGUCGGAUUAGCUAGUUGGUGAGGUAAUGGCUCACCAAGGCGACGAUCCGUAACUGGUCUGAGAGGAUGAUCAGUCACACUGGAACUGAGACACGGUCCAGACUCCUACGGGAGGCAGCAGUGGGGAAUAUUGGACAAUGGGCGAAAGCCUG
rnacentral:rRNA from 1 species